rnacentral:lncRNA from 1 species
GUAGACGAUAGAAAGUUUCGAAAGUUUGCAUUAGGCCCUUUAUAGUGAAUAAAGCUCCCAAUGUAGUUUUUUGGAACCCAUGACUACCAUAGUAUUAUAUUUUGGAACCAAGUAAACUGUUAAAGACUAAUUUUUUUUCUCCAUAUUCUUAAUGAUAUUUUCGAUAGAAUAGUCAUUCUAUAUUUGUCAGGCAAAACAGAAGUUCCAAUACACCUUUGCUAAUUGUACGUCACAGAAAGGUGUAAUUUCUUUACAUUACCAAGAUCACAAAGGUUCCUGUAAAAUGUCCCCAGAAGAAUCCAGGUCCGUUUGCACCCAUUCAUGUUCGCACCCUAUCACAAUCGCCCCCUUUCACUUUCGCACCCUACACGUUCGCAC